GGAGGAUUGAAUCAAAGAUGCUAUUCAAAAGUCAGAAGAGAACAAGGAAUAGAAAAGAGAAGAACAGCCAAACAGAUGACUAGAAACACAUUCAGAAUUGACAGUGCUGAUCCUAUCCUAGAUGAGCCAGGAGUGCAACAACAAAAACACUACAGACAUUCUCAAGUCUAACAGCAUUCAACACAAGAAAGGCACAGGAGCAGCAGGAGCACAAGACAAGAGGCAAGAUAAAUAUGUAAGCCAUAAAGAGCACCAACAAAAACAGUCAACAGUAAACAAAGGCCAAGGCAUGUGCAUUAUAAGCAAAACCAAAGGGCCACACAGAGCAAGACAUCCUCUUACACGUCUGCCUUUGUGAGCUGGAAUACAGGAAGGAGAGCGCUUUAACAAAGAAAGGAGGAGACUGUUAAGAAAAUGUAACAGAAAGGCACACCAUCCAAAUUUGUAUCACAAGACACACAAAAUAGUAUAUACACUACUUUCAUUUGCAAAUACAGAAGAACUUGUACUAGGGUGUUCUUAAUGAACCAGAAGACAGAAAUGUGGGUAAACAUAGAGAAACAGUUAUUUCCAAGACUUCAUUCACAACAGCUGCUUCUCUAAAUGAAAGGCUAUUUUAGACUAAGCCUGUAUGAUUUGCACAAGAAAUACCAUGUUUGUUAAAAAAAAGAUUGUUUUCAUAUCCCUGGGAGAGCCAAAGAUGCUCAACUGAAAAUGCAGCUAAACUAGAUAGGAUUUCAAACAUACUAUUUCAUCCUCACUUGGAAUAGUGUGUCCAGUUCUGGGCAUAGCACUGUAUAACAGGAACAGGUUCAUAGGACAACAAUGUUGGUGAGGGGUCUGAAAAGAAGUCCUAUGAAAAACAGUUGAAGGAGCUGUAUGUUCAGAUUGGGGAAGACAAGACAAGGGGAGAUAUGAUAGCCAUCUUCAAAACAUCUGACGGACUAUCACAUCGAAGGAGGCGUAAAUUUGUUUUUUUGUUCCUCCAGACAGCAGGUUGAAAUUUCAAGGAAGCAUUGCUAGGAUAGAAACUAGAAAUAAUUUCCUGACUACUUUACAGGGGAAUAGUCCAUCUUGCACAGUGGUGGGCUCAGCUUUGCUGGAAGUUUUCAAACAGCAGCUAGACAGCCAUCUGCCAAGGAUGCUGACAGUUUCCAGCACUGAGCAGGUGGUUGGACUAGAAGAUCUCCAAGAUACCUUCCAACUCUAAAAUUCUAUGAUCCUGUGUGUUUGAAGUGUGUAUGCUUUUUUAAAAAAAUGCUAAUUAGCAGAUGUAGAGGUCCCUGAUUGGACUGUGGGGGGUGGAGGUGGGAAUUGAAUGGAGCAUGUAAACUUUGCUCCCACUGAAGUUGUGAUCUGGAUUGGGCCCCUGCAGCUGCUAUUUACACGAAAAAAACCAAACUAACAUGCACGGUCAAAUAUUACAUCUAAGAGCUAAACUACAUGGGAUAUUAAACACGCCCGUAAUUGAGAGACUUAACAAGGAAGUGAACAGGAAAUGGUCCUUCUGCAUUAAAAAGUGUGUGUGUUAAAAAGUGAGAGAGAGAACAGUUCAUGGCAAAAGGAGGGACAUUAAUACUUUCACACUAUAUUGUUUCCACUCUUAAACCACCACCACCCUCCCACAAAACAGCAAUUUAAGCACCUAUUUGUAGUAAACACUCACUUCAGCUGCUUCAGGAUAGGGGGUGGGCAAUAUUCAGCACAAAAAUAGCAUGGGGUUAAGUGUGAUCAGAACUUUUAGCUGAGAAUGUGGUAUAGACAUGGAGCCCUUCACAGCAGGCCUGCAAAAUUUGUAAUCCAUCAAGCUAAAAACAGUUCCUCAGCCAUGCACAGUCAUUGUCGAUAACGUUCUUCUUCCUUAGUUUCAGGAAUUGGCCAAAACAGGUGCCCAUAUAUUGUUUUAAAAAAUUGUGUGUGUUCAAAUAUUGCUUUUUAUUUAUGAAUACAACAUUAACGUAUUGCUUUUUGAAGAGGGCACUUAGUAUGAUUUUUUUAAAAAAAGAAUCCUAUGAGAAACAUUAAUUGCUUUUAUCUGUUGUCCUUUUUAAAAUGGAAUUCUAUUAAAGUAGUUGGAGCAAAGAGAAGACAGCUAUGGCUAAACAUUAGAAGUGUAAAUAUACAAAUGAAAUACAUGCUAUAAACUAACUAUGUAAGAUGUUAAUUUUUCCUACAAAAGUACUUCCACAACAGCUUAUUAAAGAUUAUA